GACAAUUCCUCUUGAUAGCAUGUUUUGCCAUGAUUGUUGUUGUUGUUUAUUUAACCAAAAAAUAGAUUCUUCUGAAGUUCAAUGUUCCAAUGGAGUAUGUAUUUAUGUGCUUGCCUAAUUAUAUCAUGCCAAUUGCUUGAGCAGCAGGCACUGGUAAUUAUUUUCCUAAGAGUGAUAUUGAGUUUCAGUAACGUAGACCCAUCUGUUAAUUUCAGUCUUUGGUGCUUUUGCGGAUAUUUAAUGUUGUUUCAAUUGGUAAGAUAAUGGGAUGCAACACUUAUUUUACCAGUUCUAAAGCAUGACUAAGUAUGGAAAGACAGGCAAGUGUUAUUUUCUCUUGUAAACUUCUUUUGCUUGUCUAUCUCCCUACUGGUAUGCAGGUCUUUAAUUGAUAGUUUAUUAUAUAUAGUUUGCUUUAUAUAGAGUUUAUUAUAUAAAGUGAUCUCAAGGCGUUGGGCAUCUUGAUGGUAAGUGCAUUACACAUCAUGCCAGAUCAUGCAUUUUGCAAGAAUAGGCAUUUCUUGGCUCCUCACAUCCUUCAUCCAAGAUUAAUCUCAGUAUGGUCUGGCUAUACUUUACAUAAACUGUAUACUCAACUGUUAAACAAGUACACAGAAUGACAGAAGUACUUAGAAUGCAUCAUUUUGCUCAGGAACUGGACUGAACUUGCUUUACAGAAGUACUGCAUGCACUUCUAUUUUUUAUCCGACGAUAUGGCACAUAAGUUAAUGCCAAAUCCAGUGUAAAGUAAUUCUUUUGUAAGUCGGCAUCAUUAUUUUUGCAUAUGUAUAUUUUCAUUCCAGGCGCAAAGGUCAAGCUUACGGUGCAUGUUCUUUUAGGGUCCUAGGAAGAAGAGUACCUUUUCCUUGGAAUCGAGAGCAUAGGGCAAUGCCAUGGGGUACCAUGUUGAAAAGUAGGGAGAUGUGGUAUUUUGUUUUGCUCAUCUGAAGUUCGGCAUGUUUUAUUGACAUCUUGUAAGGCUACAGGUAAAACAAUGUGGGGUCUCUUUUAUUGGCAUGUUUCUGUCUUGGUAAGCAUGCAUCAAACAGGCUUAGGUUGGUUAGAACAAGGUGUGGCGGUCAAGGGAUGAUGCUGUAAUAUUAUUAGACUGCUGUUAUUUCUGGUGUGCAUGCAUUUCUGGCCGGACAAGCUGGUUAACUGAUGCGGCACUGUGUCAGUGAAACUGGGGCAAUAUUUUCAUUGCUGUAUACUAUUGUUACACAUACGAUUUCAUAGUUUGGCAAGUAUCACAAAAUUUGUGGUUAAGUCAUUUCUGAAUAAUGUUUAGUUUCCCGCUUGGCAUGCUUCUUUACAUCAAUCGAUCAGAUUCACCGCCGUUGGCCAGAGUUGCGCCUAAUUCAUACUGAUGUUAAGGAUGAACUCUCUAUUUUCUAAUAGAUCAGACUGGAUUCUAUGUUCUGUCCAUGCCCUGUUCACUGGCAUUGCCUCUUGAUUCCCCUCUUAAGUAGAAGAUCCACAGUAAGCAUAGCAAGUCCACUUGAGGAGCAAAUGUUGUUUAUCACCGCAUCUCUUCUCAUGUUGACAAGCAAGCCCGAUAUCUAUGAAGGCACCAUACAAGGCGGCGACGGCGUACCGCUCAAUACCUGCAGCCCCUGGUAUGGACAGGAAAAUAUGCUGAGCUUCUCGGCCUCGAUGACGUCCUCGUGCCUCUAUCUAAAAUGGCAGAUAUGUUUGUUUCUCUGGUGGGACUGCAGUUCUUCCGAAGCUUUGCUUUUCGCGAUGAGGAGAUUCGAGUGCAUCUUAAUUAUUGACACCUCAUUCUAUGACAAGCUCGGCAAGAAAGGCAGCAGCUGACGGGAGGAUGUACCGAGGCCUGCGGCGGACUCAGCAGGAUGGAAAGCAGCGAGCAACGAUGCAUACUUCACGGAAGCCUGCUGUUUCUCCUCGCCAAGACCUAAGAUAGCAUGAGGUCCGCGCAGAUAGAGGCACUCAUGCAGGAAAGAGACGAGGGAGCAGCUGGUGGUCCGGACGACGAAGAUCAGCUGAACGUUGGCUCCCAUGAAGUUGAUUGAUUGUGCCUCCGCUUUUGUGCCGCUUGCGUUGCUUUUGAACCACUGUCAUUUGUGUCAUUGGUGAUGUAAACUAUAAGGACAUAUCAAUAAUAUCUAUGACUCCUAAGGCUGUUCUC